rnacentral:lncRNA from 1 species
AGGAGGCCAUCCAAGCGAAUCGCGCUGAAGAGCCGCCGACAACGAGAUCCUUACUUUCUUCCUCAACUCCGGCCAAUCGCCGCCGUCGUCGAUUCCUUCUUCUCCGCCUUGAAGCCACUGCCGCUCGCGCUGCCUCCGGCAUCAAUCCCGGCCAUCUUCGGCGACAAGGCGAACAUCGUCGGGUGCGCAAGAGCCUGGCGCACUUUUCUCAUUUUGGGUGCGACGUCGGCCUCGCCGCCGUUCGCCGCCGACAUCGACGUCAAGCCGCCGGCCGGUGAAGCUCUGAUGCUGCUGCUGUUUCCUCCUCUGCCAAGCCUAUGA